UACGGGGGGGUAAGCGUUGUUCGGAAUUCCUGGGCGUAAAGGGCUCGUAGGCGGCCAACUAAGUCAGACGUGAAAUCCCCAGGCUCAACCUGGGAACUGCGUCUGAUACUGGAUGGCUUGAAUCCGGGAGAGGGAUGCGGAAUUCCAGGUGUAGCGGUGAAAUGCGUAGAUAUCUGGAGGAACACCGGUGGCGAAGGCGGCAUCCUGGACCGACACUGACACUGAGGAGCGAAAGCCAGGGGAGCAAACGGG
rnacentral:rRNA from 1 species